rnacentral:lncRNA from 1 species
CUUAAUCAAGUACAACAAAACUCUGACCAACAUAAGGCUCUAUAUUUUAUAGGUUGAUGCUAAAAAAAAAAACAGAAGUGAAAGUUCAUGAUUUCUAAGGUUGGAAUCAUUCAAACAUGAUCUUUUGGCCUAAUAUUAAUAGCAUUACUUUCGACCAAAAAAAAUAUUCUAAAAAAAUUAGGAGCAUUAACAAGCCAAGUGUAAGUAACAUGUAGACAAACUGAAACACAGAUUAAAGCAUGUAAUGCCCUUUGCGAAGAGAAAAAGAAAAAGUGACAAAAUAGAUGACAAUCAGAAGUGAAACCCAAGGAGGGAAGGAAGGGCCAUUAGGCUCUGCAGGCAUGAAUUUAAUAUCCUCUUGGUACCAAAAGCCCAAAGAAGAAAACCAAAGGCCCAAACAAGAGAAUCCAUAACAAAUCGAUCAAAGAGUUAAAGGAGGACUUUGAAGAUCGGCCCCAUGACCCUUUUCAUUUCCUUUGAACAGAAUGUCACUUAAUGAGCCAUGAUUACCCUUUGAAUAGUUUAUUGGAGCAUAAAAUUCCAGCAAGAUCGAAGUGAUAAUAGGCAGAGGUUUCCUGGCAAUGGCAUGGCGUGUACCUAGAAUUUGUCAUGCCAUUUCACACCUUUCAUUUCAUGGGGCCAUAUCUUUUUAAAAGACACAAAUAAAGCUGCCACUAGUUGGAUUGUUUUUGUUACUUUCUCCCUUUUUUAUCUUAAAGAAAGAAAAAAAAAAAACACAUAAUGAUUUCAUUUGCUUGACUCAAAAUAAUUGCCUUUUAAGUCAAUGGAUGCGCU